rnacentral:lncRNA from 1 species
GAUCCAAUAUCCCAUGAUUAAAUCAAAUAAAAUCCUUGACUAAUUUCUUGAUGUGUGUGACCCUUUGGGUUCUAUAUUUAGCUAGCAGUAGGUCUAAAUUUAUGUUGAUCUGAAUUGAUUAGAGUCCAUCUAACCGAAUUAAGUCAAACCGAUGCAUAUCCAAGUUGUCAAAUUAGAACCCUUUCUAAUUGACCCAUGAAUUAAACUCUUUAAUUCAU